UGUAUUGUUUAUAAACAUUUUUUUUUCGACCAAUCGCAACCGUUUUCUAUUCAAGAUUUUUUUAAACAGCGGUAUAAAAUGUAAAGCGCAUUUUCGGAGUCGUGAUUUGAGGUGUAUCAAGCUAAGAUGACGGACGCUAUUGUCAUAUCGGACGUCGAGUGGGAAGAAAUUCCUAUAGAGGAAUUAACUUGUAAAACACCGGUACCUUUUCACCUGGAUGAUUUGUCUAAAAUUAACCGUGCGGUCGACAAUCUGAAAAAGGAGGGGGUUCAACCUUACCCCGGAAGUGAUAACUUUUACCCAACCAUGCCUCCAUCCACCAGCCGAACCGUCUUACAUUCGAAUCAGCCCAGCCAGACCGUCAGAUCACAAGCGAACGCGAAAGCUGUUCGUUACAGGACCAUCACACCACAGACGAUCCUCGAAGCUGAGCAACGGCCGACGGCCUACGCACCCCCAAUAUCUCAGCCCCCACCACCUCCACCCCCUUCUACUGCGCAGACGGAUGAACAACAUCCGACAGCCGCUUCAAUAUCUCUGCCCACACCUCCUCCUCCUCCUCCCCCUUCUCCUGCACAGGAUCAAUCCGACAGCGACUCUGAAACCGCUGAACGUGUUCCUGAGCAGCCAGCCGAUGAAGAGGAAGAGAACGCCCCACCUCCUGCACCUGUACAGAAAAAACGAUUGAAGAAGAAGAAGCGGGGCAGAUUUACGCCACUUCAGCGAUUAAACAGGAUGAAAAUGGGCUACCUGCUCCUACAAGUGAACUCCGGCCUGGUGGAUGUGGUGCAACAAGUUCUGGCUCUGUAAAGGAGGACGCAGAUUUUUUUCUUCAUUUUUAGUAGGUUUUUAAUGUAUUUUGUAUCAUGAGUGAAAAUUGGUUUGAUGACCUUUCAGAUUUGUUUGAAGUAGAUGAUGAAUUAAACGUAGAUGAUGAAUUAUUAGAUAGAAUUUUAGCCAGCCAAAAUCCCUCAGAGGAGGAGGCCGAUAAUUUGGUGUUAACUGACUGGUUUGAUGUAAGCGGACUGAGUGAAGUAGAUGAAUUAGCUUCAGAUAGUGAGAUUUUAGCAUCCCAAGCCGUUUCAAACGAGGUCGAUCAAAUUCUAGCAAAUUCAGAU
rnacentral:lncRNA from 1 species